rnacentral:lncRNA from 1 species
GCAUCACACAAACACCAUGAGAACAGAGGCAUCACACACACAACACCCUGUGAACAGAGGCAUCACACACAACACCCUGUGAACAGAGGCAUCACACAACACCCUGUGAGCAGAGGCAUCACACACAACACCCUGUGAACAGAGGCAUCACACACAACACCCUGUGAACAGAGACAUCACACACAACACCCUGUGAACAGAGGCAUCACACAACACCCUGUGAAAAGAGGCAUCACACAACACCCUGUGAACAGAGGCAUCAAACACAACACCCUGUGAACAGAGGCAUUACACACAAAACACCCUGUGAACAGAGGCAUCACACAACUCCCUGUGAACAGAGGCAUCACACACAACACCCUGUGAACAGAGUCAUCACACAGCACCCUGUGAACAGAGGCAUCACACAACACCCUGUGAGCAGAGGAAUCAAACACAACACCCUGUAAGCAGAGGCAUCACACAACACCCUGUGAACAGAGGCAUCACACACAACACCCUGUGAACAAAGGCAUCACACACAACACCCUGUGAACAGAGGCAUCACACAACACCCUGUGAACAGAGGCAUCACACACAACACCCUGUGAACAGAGGCAUCACACACAACACCCUGUGAACAGAGGCAUCACACAACACCCUGUGAACAGAGGCAUCACACACAACACCCUGUGAGCAGAGGCAUCACACACAACACCCUGUGAACAGAGGCAUCACACACAACACCCUGUGAACAGAGUCA